CCGCCGCCGUGUUGUGAAGCGUUCUCUCCCCCUCUCGUCCUUGUGCUCUCGCUGCCACUUUUUCGUGCCGCCCUCCCUGCUUGCCGGCCCGCGGCGGCAGCGGAACGCUCAGCGGAGGAGGGAGUGGUGAUGGUGGUGGUGGUCCUGCGGUUUCGCGAUCUGAACCCGACCCGGCCCUGCGCUGCAGCUACGCCGCACACGCACGCAGAUCCACUGGAGCCGGCAUAUUCACGUCUGCACAAGCGCACUUGGGAGAGGAGGGGUGGGGGGCGGCAGCAGCAGCAGCGGCAGCAACACAAGAAGCCCCACGUAUUACGCCCAUACACGGGAGCGAGCCUAUAAACCCACCAGACAGACGACUUGGAGGACACGAUAGACGUGUGAUGAGCAGCGAUCGUGCCGAGGCGAGUGAACGAGAGGUGAGGCGCGUGAAAGAUGGCGACGAGACGGAUCGCACCAGCGGCGGUGGCGGCGUGGUGGCGCCGUGGCUGGAGGAUCACGGGCUCUGGUCCUCGUCGUCCUCCCUCUCCCAGAUGACGCCGACCCGACCGUCGCGGAUAUCGUUGCUGGCCGCACCCGCCCCUGAGCCGCUCGAUGCGCAGAGGCACGUGUGCCACGCCAGAGCCGCGGCAGCAGCACCUGCUGCCGUCGUAAGCAACGCUGAGGAGGUGACCGAAGCGCGAGGCUCGUGCGCCGCGCUCCAUGCCAGCCGAGAAGACACACGCGACCGUGACUCGCCAGUGGCAGCACCCCAGGGGCAGCAGCCGGCAUUGAACGCCGAGGACGAGUGGAGGCGGCGUGCCUCUCGGCCUGCCUCGUCGGCGUCGUCAUCCUCGUCAUCUUCUGCGCAAGCAGAAGCGCAUCCAGGCCGCGUCGUCUACGAGGAUGGGCGAGGCGGCGGUGAGGAGGCAGACGACCGAAGUUCCGAGUUGCGCCAUGCUGACGCCAACGGAGCGUCAGAUGACGCAGAGGCUUCGCCGUCUACGGCGCUCCACCUGCCGUCGUCACCGCAGCCGCGCCGGCAAGAGGCGUCACCUCUACUGCCCUCGCUGACGCCGGUGGCGACGGCGCGCACGCAGCAGGCCAUGCUGUCGUCCUCAGCGAAGCCGCCGUUCACUGCCGAGCCACGAGGCCUGGAGAGCGACACACCGCCACCGCAGGUGGUCAGCCAAGGAGAAGGCACGAAUCCAACCAAGCGGCUGUGCACUGCCGUCGCUGCCGCCUCUAGAAGAGCAACCCUGACCACAUCUCCGCCUUCGCCGUCGCCGGGGAUGUGGGUGUCCUGCGCGCACAGCGACCUGCCGGCGCGGUACCGCGACGUCCCGGGGUACUACUGCACUUACUGCUCCUACACGGUUUGCGUGGACUGCUUCCCUCUCACGAACUUGCGGGAGCAGUCGCGUGUCACGAGAACCGCCGCGCCGUCCCCCGCCCCCUCGCCGGCUGCAUCCGCGUCGUCCGUGACGGGAGAGAUGGACUGGCUGGAUGCCGUGAUCGCCUCCCCUGCGACCGCCGUGCGCAGUGGCGGAGCUGCGAACGGUGCGCACCAGGUCCAUGCCACCGCUGCCACCUACGCAAGGGAGAGCGCUGGGGGCGACUACGGCCGCACGUCGCGGCAGCGACACCUGAAGGAGGGUGCCUCGUUACGUGACGCACCGCCGACCUCGACAUCGUCGACGGUGGCGGCACCUCUCCGCUGUCACCUCUGCCGGCGCGGCGACCUCGUGCGUGAAGAGGCGCUCCUGCACGAGUGGUGCUGUGAGGGGCCGGCGCCGGCGGCGCGGCGGCACAGCGGCGGCAGCCUCGUCUACGACACGGCGAAUCUGCACAAGUACCACUUCAUGCGAACACAGCGAGAGAAGCGGCGGUCAUCGACGGAGCCGCUGCUCGCUCGGGUGCUCGCAGUCUUCCCAGCCACGUUGGGCGGGGCGGACGCCCGCGCAGACGGGUCAGCCCCAUGUGUCACGCAGAGCCCCCUGCAAAGCCGCCGCCUCCGCCGCCCCCACGGCGAUGCAUCGAGCGGCAAGAGCGCCGUUCGCGGGCGGGACCCGCUGCCGUCCGCGUCGUCAGGGCAUGGACGGCGGCUGACGCUGUCGCGCCUUGAUGCAGGAGCCAACGCAGCCGCCAGUCUGCGCGGUAGCGCAGCGCUGCCGAACCUCGACCGCUGCGAGGAGGGCGGCAGCUACGUCUUCUCUGUAUGGAAUCCGCGGAUGGAGGUGCAGCUCGUGUGGUGCGCCGUGAAUUACGAGGCUCGUGAAGGUGCACCCGCGCUUCACCACCACUACCAGCACAGCAGCGCGGGCCACCGUGGCCAUGGCGUGCUGCCGUCCUCGGCCUCCGUCACGCCGCUCUUCAUGUGGCGCUGCCCACCCUCCUUGCCGGGGCUUCCGGCGCGGCCGUUUCGCGUGACGGUGCCCUACGGCCUGUACGCCUUCGCCAGCACGCACGCGCUGGCGCUGUACGAGGCGAGCGACAUCUUCAGAAAGGCCACCACGCAACUCGCUGCCGCAGCGGGUGGCGGCGAUGGUGCACACCACGCGCAGCUGCACCCCCGGCAGCUGUCGUCCGUGAAGGUGGUGCCGGCCGCCACGCUGCGUGCGCUGCUCAUUGUGCACGUGAUGCACCACGUCGCCACGACCCCAGUGCCGCUGCGCCUGGGGCGUGCGCUGCCGCCAUCGCUGCCAGACCCUACAUCACAGCACCACCACCUGAAGGAACAGCGCCCGGUGCCACAGGCCUCUUCACACGUAGCACGCUGCACCACGACGCCGCCGUCGGCGUCGCGCAAGCGUGCGCGGAUGAACGAAGAAGACGCGGAAGGGGGCGCGGAGGUCUCGGCUCUGCCGCCCACCUCUGACCUGCAGUGGCCCCAUGGUCUUGCCUCGCCGGAGCUGGCGCUCUGCGUGGAUCACCUGCUGCACGGCCGCUCCGUCGCGGUGUACGGCAUCGGCUCGAAGUAUUACUUCCUGCACCACGUGGCGCAGAGCGCGGAGCUGAAGCACUUCCACGUCGUCACGGUGGACGCUAGCCUCGGUCGUGGCGACGGUGACGUCGGCAACGGCGACAGUAUCGCUGCCGCAUCAGCGGCAGGCGAUCCGCACGGCGGUGGCCAGCGUGGGCGGCGCUCCGGAGGUGGCAGCGGCACGGGCGCAUCGGGUGGCGUUGCCGCCGCCCCCUCGAUUGUACGUCAGCUGAUCAUCCUCGGCAGCACGCUCGUGAGGCGCGUUCACUCCACCGCGCUCAAGACAGAGCUGCAGCUGCGGAGGCACGACGCCAUGCCGCCGCGGCGGCAAACGCGCCAGCAGGAUAUGCAUCAACGUGAACAGCAGAGGCCUGGUGCUGCCGCUGAAGCUGAUGCGUACCCUGCGGCACGGGCGGCACUCGCCGGAGAAGAAGCCCGCUCGCCAGCAGUGGCGCGUGACGUCACGUCCGCCAUGCAGCGCGCGGUGACCGCGUCACGGACAGCGAUCACGCCUGUGGAUGUGGUGGACGUCGACGAUGCCUUGAGCAGCAGCGGCGAAGAGUGGGAUGGGAUGCUUGGCGAUUUGGGCAAGCCGUGUGAUUCGCUCCGUAGCGCUGAGCGCGUCGCUGUCAUGCCGGCUCGUGACACCGUGCGCGAGGUGGGGCGGUCCCCUGCGGCGAGGUCGACGCUUGCAACGGUGACAGCAACGACGGGGAUGAUCACACCAAGCAAAACAACGUUGAAGUCGCGGCCGCGCCAGCGCUGUCCUCCCUCGCCGACAGUGCUGACGAGCACGCCGUCCUCGCAGCGCGGCACGCAGCUUGGCGGUGCGGAUGCGUCGUUGUCUGCGACGCCCUCGCUGUCACUCAUGUCGCCUGUGCCCGCCUUCUUCGAAGUGUUGCAGCGCACCGUCACCGGUUCGCUGGAGAACGACGGUGCCGCCGGCGCCGACAACGACGUCGCCCCGACUCGCAGCGCGUGCGUAGAGAUGCGCGAGUGGGCUGGCCGUCUCCACUCGCCGAAGCUGCCCCCCCUGCCCGCCACCGCCGCCUCGCAUCGGGGCGGCGCGGCGUCAGAGGUGACGUGGCGGGCCCCGGUCCUCUGCUUCGCCAGCGACGCCGUCCGUCAGCUGGUGCUGGCGUCGGUGCGGCGCCGCCAGGCGAGCCGCCGCUGUGUGCAGUGGGUGUCCUUGCCAUCGACGACGGCGUUGGCCGUGCUGGCCGAGCAGAUACCGUUCACGGCAGCGCCAUCGCCGACUGCGCCUCCUCGUCUGCACCUAACGGAGGCCCAUCAGCUGCGUCCUGGCUGGUCGCCGCCGGUGUUGCUCGUGCUGCACAACGUCGACUUGCUGGACACGGAGGAAGCGGGUCUGCUCCUGCAGUUGUGCGCCGAGUUCGCCUACCCACACCCGCACCUGCAGCUGCUGCUCUCCUUCGACGACCCGCGAUGGCCGCUGACGCCGCUGGCCGGCGCGCUCACGCAGAUGGGCGUGUGCGCGGUACAGCUACGCAGUCUCCUGCUGCCGCGCGUGCAUGAGAUGCAGCACGUUAGCAGCCUACGCCUUCUCACGGACUCGGAGGCGAUGGCAGCCGGCGGUGCUGGUUCGCUGGGGUUGAAGGCGACGGGGCACGGCGCGCCGAGAGCUGCUGGCGCUGGCGGCCUUGCAAGCGCCGGCAGCAGCAGCGGUGCUGGUGGCGGCUCGCACCUUCUGCAGGAUACGAUGCGUCGCGUGCUCUUCAGCUUGCCGCCAGCCUUCAGCGGCCUCCUGCGCAUCCUCAUCGAUCUGCAGGAGGAGAUGGGCGAGGGCCAGAGGGUAUCCGUGUUCGUCGCGAAGGACAGGUUCGAGCAGCAUGGUAUGAUGGUGUCGCAGGGACGGCUGAAGGCGCUGCUGCAGGAGCUCACGUCGAACCGGAUUGCGCAGUACGACAUGGCCGAGCACGCGCUGACGGUCAUGCAGCCUCGAAAGCUGCGCAAGGUGCUGGAAGAGGUCGCGGCGCAGCGAGAUGGCGCCGCUGCCGCUGCAGCGGCGCCGGUAUCUUCCGGUGCAUCCGCCUUUCGCGCCAGCUGACGUCGAUACCAGGGCGGUGUGAUCCCAGCGAGUGGAUGUGCGCGCACGAACGCCGGCAACAGUCGCUGAGGAUGCACACGUGCGUGUGCACGUUACACAACCUCAGGGAAGAUUCAAAGAGGUAUGGGCAGAGAAUGAGAGAGAGACACGUGUCGAAGAUGGUCGUCUCAUGUGCUCAUCAUCGUGAUGGGCGUUCUCCCCGCCGCAUCAGCAGCAGCCCUCGCACGCCAACGCCUCACAUCGGGGGGAGGAGGGGGUGGGGGCAUGCAUUUCGUUCCCGGCGCGUAAGGGCCGUAAGCGAGGGAGCCGGAGAGACAGGCGACGAUGAUGACAACGACGCCACAUCGCACGCGGAUUCGUCGCCUCUUUUUUUUUGUUCACGCCCCUCCGUUGCACAGCAUUCUUUCCCUUCUCGUGGCCCAUCUCUCUUCGGGUCAUGCCAGUACCCACCCACCUAUC
rnacentral:misc_RNA from 1 species